CCAGAAAUCCUAACCCAUUUCCCUUUACCCGCCGCAUCAGAAUCCUCUCUACUCUCAUCUUCUUUAACCCUAUCCGCCUCACUCAAACCUUCUCCGAAUCCGUCUCAAUCAUGGAUUCCUUCCAUGAUUUUCUUACCUUUUAUGUGAUUCCUCAGUAUGCUUUGCAAGACUAAGGUGUUACAUAGUAUUUGCCCCAAUUUUGGCAAGUACCAGUCCCCAAAUCGGAUUCCUCCGCCUUCAACUUUUGGGAUUUAGAUGAUAUUUCGUCUAUGUGCACUCAUUAUCAGGCUAUAUGGUCCGAUUCAAUGUCGAAGGGUGAAUUGGCGCUGCAAUUCUAGCACCAUGCUUUUAGAAGGUUUGAAAUGCAAUUGAUCAAUGGAGGAAGCCAGUGACUACUUUUGCUUACAAUUGGAAUGACUCGUAGUCCCCCUAUUAUCGGUGUAUAACUUUUGGCUUGGGUUUUCAAUCCUCGAAAUUUUAUUCUAACUGUAUUUUGAAUUUAACAGUGUAAAUCCUUUUUACACUUUAGUGUAAUAUGGAUAUUGUAUAUUUCAUGGAUUAAAAGCUUAUUACUUGUGCUUGGCUUUUGAAUAACCUAAUAUUAUAAGAAAAGUCUCACCGUUUGUGUA